rnacentral:rRNA from 1 species
UACGUAGGGGGCAAGCGUUGUCCGGAAUCAUUGGGCGUAAAGAGCGUGUAGGCGGCCCGGUAAGUCCGCUGUAAAAGUCAAAGGCUCAACCUUUGAAUGUCAGUGGAUACUGCCGGGCUAGAGUCUGGAAGAGGCGAGUGGAACUCCUGGUGUAGCGGUGGAAUGCGCAGAUAUCAGGAAGAACACCAACGGCGAAGGCAGCUCGCUAGGACGGUACUGACGCUGAGACGCGAAAGCGUGGGGAGCGAACAGG